rnacentral:rRNA from 1 species
UACAGAGGGUGCGAGCGUUAAUCGGAAUUACUGGGCGUAAAGCGCGCGUAGGCGGCUUUGCAAGUCGGGUGUGAAAUCCCCAGGCUUAACCUGGGAACUGCAUUCGAGACUGCAUUGCUAGAGUAUGGGAGAGGGAAGUGGAAUUUCCGGUGUAGCGGUGAAAUGCGUAGAUAUCGGAAGGAACAUCAGUGGCGAAAGCGACUCCUGGACCAAUACUGACGCUCAUGUGCGAAAGCGUGG